CCCCUCUCAGGGUUGCACCUGGAGAGUUUCCAUUACUCUACCAGUCUUGGCUAUAGGAGGGAGAGUCAAACAGAGGCCAAACACAUUCCAUUCCUAGCUUGGCCAGUGGUUAGCGAGUGGAAGGCAAUCUGCUACAAGU